CCCUGGUCAUUGGAUUUCAAACCUGGACAUACCUUUGUGCACCAUCUCCAUUCUCCGUUGCAGAAUACACACUGCGAGGGCAAAUAGAGCAAUGGAAACGAGUUUUCUACGGAUUCCAUUUCUAGAAGGCCGACUUGUUAAACAGUUUCAGUCAUAUAGCCCAGUUAAGUAUGUGAUAAUAUCUUUAUAAUUAAGUUUCUAUCCACUGGACCGAAUUUCCAGUAAUUAAGGCCCGACUAGGUCCCCCUAAUCACUUUGCCAAUCAAAACGCUAUUAAAGCAAUCAUUGUUUUUAACGCUACGCGCUAAAAUAAUGUGCCGGUGACCCGCGUCUAAUAAAGCGUGAAAUGGAGUACCAAAUUAACUCAUAAUAUCCGGGUCACGUGAUUGCAUUGCCAAUUUGAGUUUCAGUAAAUCUUGAAAUUAAUAGCUGGGCUACCCUUGGGUGACGCCGGUUUAAAACUAAAACCCAUCGUCGCCAGCUUAAAUACUUAAUUUGUCUGUUGGUGCGUAUGUAUCUAAACAACAUUUUAGCCCGACUAUGAAAUUAAUCCUCCCAUCCAACCCAGCAAAAAUAACAAAUCGGUAUUUCUUUUGCC